UUAGUAGCGGCGAGUGAAGCGGCAAAAGCUCAAAUUUGAAAUCUGGCUCUUUCAGAGUUCGAGUUGUAAUUUGAAGAAGGUAUCUUUGGGUCUGGCUCUUGUCUAUGUUUCUUGGAACAGAACGUCACAGAGGGUGAGAAUCCCGUGCGAUGAGAUGAUCCAGGCCUAUGUAAAGUUCCUUCGAAGAGUCGAGUUGUUUGGGAAUGCAGCUCUAAGUGGGUGGUAAAUUCCAUCUAAAGCUAAAUAUUGGCGAGAGACCGAUAGCGAACAAGUACAGUGAUGGAAAGAUGAAAAGAACUUUGAAAAGAGAGUGAAAAAGUACGUGAAAUUGUUGAAAGGGAAGGGCUUGAGAUCAGACUUGGUAUUUUGUAUGUUACUUCUUCGGGGGUGGCCUCUACAGUUUAUCGGGCCAGCAUCAGUUUGGGCGGUAGGAGAAUUGCGUUGGAAUGUGGCACGGCUUCGGUUGUGUGUUAUAGCCUUCGUCGAUACUGCCAGCCUAGACUGAGGACUGCGGUUUAUACCUAGGAUGUUGGCAUAAUGAUCUUAAGUCGCCCGUCUUGAAACACGGACCAAGGAGUCUAACGUCUAUGCGAGUGUUUGGGUGUAAAACCCGUACGCGUAAUGAAAGUGAACGUAGGUGGGGGCCCGUAUGGGUGCACCAUCGACCGAUCCUGAUGUCUUCGGAUGGAUUUGAGUAAGAGCAUAGCUGUUGGGACCCGAAAGAUGGUGAACUAUGCCUGAAUAGGGUGAAGCCAGAGGAAACUCUGGUGGAGGCUCGUAGCGGUUCUGACGUGCAAAUCGAUCGUCGAAUUUGGGUAUAG
rnacentral:rRNA from 1 species